UACGAAGGGGGGCUAGCGUUGUUCGGAUUUUACUGGGCGUAAAGCGCACGUAGGCGGGUCGUUAAGUCAGGGGUGAAAUCCCGGAGCUCAACUCCGGGAACUGCCUUUUGAUACUGGCGACCUUGAGGCUGGAAGAGGUUAGUGGAAUUCCCAGUGUAGAGGUGAAAUUCGUAGAUAUUGGGAAGAACACCAGUGGCGAAGGCGGCUAACUGGUCCAGAUCUGAGCGCUGAGG
rnacentral:rRNA from 1 species